UCAAGUCACUCACCUGUCUGCAUCUUUUCUGGAGACACAUCGCGUGCAGGCGAAACAAAUGCAAACAUCAUCCACAUGCGUCGUCAAACUCCCGAAGUUGUCAUAAAAGCGCUCGUCGUCGCCCAAAUGCGUUUCCCACGUGCUUUAUCAUGUUUCAUGCUGUGGAGUGCAGUCAACGCGUGUCCGACUCCCAGCCAGGACGCCAACAUCACUUCAGACGCCCUCCAGCUGCUGGACCAGGGACGCUGCCUCUUCAGAUCCAUCCUGCCGUCAGAUACAGCUGUGCAGUCUUGGCAGUUCAGAAGACUUAUCCUGGGAGCCACGCUUUGCUCUGCUGAAGAACCUCAUAUUUAGGGCACGAGAGCUCAUUGUUGGGGAAACCCAUAACGGGACUCCUUUGUGAGCCGGACACCUUGGAGGCCCACCUUGGCUUUCCACGGGGCUCUGCUGUGUUUCGAAAAGUGUCUGGGCUUGUGGUGACACUGCUUUGCAUCUGUUCCUACUCAUUCUCGUACCUGCGCAUGUAUCAGGAGGCGCGUAACGCUGUUCAGCCAUUCCAGCAGGUCAAUCAGAGGGCACACAAAACAGUGAUGUUCUACUGCUCCAUGCUGCUGCUUCAGCUGCUCCCCAUCUUUCUGAAGAUAGUCUCAGAUGCCCUGUGGGAAUUCGAGGGCAACAUGGCAAUGGUCCGUUCGCAGGAUUACCCUGGAGACUGGAUGUCAGCAGGGGCUCUACACAUCAUGCUGCUGGUGAUGCUUCAGGUGCCUCCUUGCAUUAAUCCACUCAUCUACGGUCUGCGCAACAGAGAAGUGAGGGAAACUCUGCCCAGGCUGCUGUGGUGGAGGAGGGACAACCGCUAGAUCAGACCGAUAUUCAAGAUGAAUUUUCAGUUACCUGGCAACAUUUUGAAGAAACAGAGGACAAAAGAAUAGAAGAGUGUGGUUUUCAUGGUUUAUUGUGGGAUUAUAAUAAUGCACAAUAUAAAACUUUAAUGCAAGAUAUUUUGAAUGUAAAACAGUAAAUCUUGACUCAAAUGUAAUGUGCCUUUUGUUCAUAAAACAUGCCUUUACCUGUGUUUCUAUACAAUGUUGUUUCUAUAUUAAUAUAAUUCAGUAACACCUUACAUAUAGGUUCAAAUUGUUUAGUGCAUUAUGAACUAACCGCAUU